rnacentral:rRNA from 1 species
CUACGAAAGGUGCAAGCGUUGUUCGGAUUUACUGGGCGUAAAGAGAGUGUAGGUUGUUUAUUAAGUCGGAUGUGAAAUCCCGGGGCUCAACCUCGGAACUGCAUUCGAUACUGAUAGGCUAGAGUUUGGGAGGGGUAAGCGGAAUUCCGUGUGUAGCAGUGAAAUGCGUAGAUAUACGGAGGAACACCUGAGGCGAAGGCGGCUUACUGGACCAAUACUGACACUGAGACUCGAAAGCGUGGGUAGCAAACAGGAUUAGAAACCCUUGUAGUCC